rnacentral:rRNA from 1 species
GAUGAACGCUGGCGGCGUGCCUAAUACAUGCAAGUCGAGCGAACAGACGAGGAGCUUGCUCCUCUGACGUUAGCGGCGGACGGGUGAGUAACACGUGGAUAACCUACCUAUAAGACUGGGAUAACUUCGGGAAACCGGAGCUAAUACCGGAUAAUAUAUUGAACCGCAUGGUUCAAUAGUGAAAGACGGUUUUGCUGUCACUUAUAGAUGGAUCCGCGCCGCAUUAGCUAGUUGGUAAGGUAACGGCUUACCAAGGCAACGAUGCGUAGCCGACCUGAGAGGGUGAUCGGCAACACUGGAACUGAGACACGGUCCAGACUCCGACGGGAGGCAGCAGUAGGGAAUCUUCCGCAAUGGGCGAAAGCCUGACGGAGCAACGCCGCGUGAGUGAUGAAGGUCUUCGGAUCGUAAAACUCUGUUAUUAGGGAAGAACAAAUGUGUAAGUAACUAUGCACGUCUUGACGGUACCUAAUCAGAAAGCCACGGCUAACUACG